rnacentral:rRNA from 1 species
AUGUCGUGCGGCGCCCACACAGCACCCCACUCCUGGCUGUUCAUCUCUUCGCCGGCGGUGCAGCUCCCGCCGCCGUCGGGGCACCCGCGCUGCCGCGUCUCCGUCAGGGCCACAUGCGCUCCGACCUCCUCCCGCGUCCCAGCCGGUGGCGGCAACACGCGCCACCAGACCCGGCCGCGCCUCGUAGCGGCGCACUCGGUACCUCCGCCGCCGCCCCCUACCGCCAGAACCGUCCGGAGGGACGCCGCGACGGGGCUCGCUUUCCUCCUCUUCGUGCUCGGCCUGGUAUGCCUCUGUUGUUUGGGGAGUUUGUCCCUUCUGUCUUAA